GCCCCCAGCCACCACCUGAGGGGUGCCAGGCCCCUCAGGACUGGGCUGGUCCAGAGGCAGGACACAGCGAACUCAUUGCGAGUAGGGCCAGCCCCCCAGCGCUGGACAAUGCAGGGUAAACCCCAUUUGGAACCAGGCUUGGCGCAACCCCAGCUGCAAGACAUCAACUUCUCGCCACAGGACAGGCCCACUUCCCACCCAGCUCACCACAGAGAGUACAUUUCAUGUUGUUGGUCUCAACAGGCAGCAGGGAGUCCCUGUGAUCUUGUGCCGUAACCGCCAAGGAUGCAAAGGGAUCAUGCUCCCUCGGCCAGAGCGUUGACUAGUAGCUCUCCCCUCCAUUAGGACUACUCCAUAUAAGCAACUAAGUAACCCAGACACAGAUCCACCCAACUAUUGCUUCUUUCUGCAGUCACUUACAUCUUAUGGGGCAGAAAUAACUGAGUGAACCAAAGAGCCUCUCCAAAAAGCAAAUCCUCACUACUUUUCUUGACAUAGUUUGGUUCAGUUGCAGAGGAAAAGGUCUUGCAAUGCAUUUGCUGGGAACUGGACCCACCACCCUUCUUGAUUGGUAAAAGCCACCAAUGAUUCUAUCAGCUCACUUUUGACCAAGGCCUAGAGCUGCGCAGGUGCCCAGCAGGAAAGUCAUCUGCUGCUGCACUAGAGACCGAGACCGGCCCUUGAGCAGCCAGUCAUCGAGGUGCCGUUGGAAGAAACGUUGUCUACUGAAGUGGAAGAGCAGAAUCCUGAUGAAUCUGUUGAUCCUCCAAGUGAGACAUUUUCAAUUACCAAAACCACCAUAAUGUUUUGCUUAGGGAACAAAAAUAAAUGAAAUUGUGAGCACUUCUCAAGUACAGUCAUGUAAACUUCUGAUGUACAGGUGUUUAAAACACUAUUUAAAAUCCAAUGAGGAAAGCAACACCCAAUAACAUCCCUGAGCAACAAUGGAAUUGCCAUAUUGGAUCAGAGAAGUCAGUCACCAUUAGUUCAGUAUCCUACCACUGACGGUGGCCAGUACCAGACACAGUUCCAGAGGAAGGAGCAAGAAAGACUCAAGUGGCAAUUGUGGAAUAAUCUGCCCAAACAGGAGGUUGAAAAAUUCUUCCACAACCAUUAGCAACCUGGUUGAAUGCAAAGAAACACAGGAUUGAUGGUUUGAGCAAUGCUUGGUGGAACUCUCAGGAGAAUGCAUCUCUACAUUUCCAUCCAGAUACUGCAUACUGAAACUGGCAACGAGCAUGUGGAAAAACAUAAUACACAUUUCACAUAACAGACUCUAUAGAGAGGUACUAAACUUGCAAAAAGAGAUGUCUGAGGAAUUUAACAGACUACAGGCUGAUGACCUUACUGCCACAGACUCAGUGGAAAUUUGGCUUGAUCUAGUGAAUACUGGAACCGCACAAGGACAAAUUAAAAAAAAAUAAACAAAUCAGAAACGCUCUGGAACCCUUCCUUUACUUAGCUAACAUGACACUGAUCCCAAAGAGAAAGGUCACAGGUUGAGCCCAGAAAAAGAGGGAGAGGCUCCAUGGUUGAUGGAACAUAAUUCUGAGUUAGUUCCGUCUUUUCUAGGAUUGAAAUUGAAGAUGCAUAUUUCUACCCAAAAUCUAUGUUUUCAAUGAACCUGCAUUGUGGCUUUUUUUCAUCAAUAUGAUGGAAAUAUAAUCACAGAGGACAGGAUAGUUGAAUUCAGAAUGGUGUCAAUUUUUAGAAGACCAGCAUACCUGAUGCUGUACCGCCAAAAUCAAUUGUGCAUGUUUUUAGUACAUUCACAUUGCUUUGUUCAAAACUUCUUAAAAUAAUGCUGAUGCUGAAAAAGGAUAUAAUUUGGUAAAAGUAUCCUGGUACCAGAGGACAGACAAAAUAUAGUUAGGCUUCACUAAUUAGCAAACUAGGAACUUGAUUAUGGUAUUCUUGUUGGUUUCCUAAUUUUUCAUUUUAUAACAAGGACAUCUACUUUACCGUUUGUCUAGCAUACCUGUCUGUCCACGUGACCUGGUCACUAUUAGUGCAUACCUUUGUCUCUUGUCUAUACCUCUUAAUUAUAAGUUAACAGAGUGAAAAGGACACCAUUGCAAAUUACUUCUGUGUUUUUAGUCUAAUUGCUUUGAGCACUUGACACCACUUGGUUUUAUAUAGUCUAUUACACUUCUGUCUCAUGCCCCAGCAUGGCAACAUCAUCCCAUAGAGGGAACCUAUGCCCAUGCUCUUCUGAAGGGCCUGAGAGAGAGCGUUUGCUAGUAGCAGCAAAGCCAGGGCUUUGGAGUUGUGCUCCGGAGCAAGCUCCAGGCAAAAACCUGCAACUCCACUGCUCCACACUCCCGCUCCAGGCUCCGCUCCAAAGCCCCGGAAGGAAUAGCAAGCAAGCACUUGCACUGAGUAAGGGGAAGGAGGAGAUAGGCCCACAGAUGUGAUGUUCUGCUCUUUUUAGGAUCUUUAUAAGUAUCACCUUAGGAACAGAAAAACCCUUAUUAAAAAAGAGCAAUUUUAAGAACAAGAUGUACUAUCAAAAACUUGAAUUAUUUAAAAUUAGUCAGCUGAACAGUGCCUUUUAACUCUAAAGUGUUCUGUAACAGAGUUUGUGUGAAAGAGGUUAUACAAAAUAAAGUUGCAUUAUUGACUUGGGAAUAGACAAAACAAUACAGCUCAUCUUCCUAUUCCAAGCAGCAAGCACCAAACAAUGAGCAGAUUAAUAUAUACUUUUCUAAAAGAAACCCUGAGAUCCCAGGGAAUGACAAGGAAAUAUUUAGAUUUGGAUAUUACCAGCAACUAUUUUAUAGUCUAGCCUAGACCAUUUCUCUGCUCAAAUGUAUUUAUAGUGCAUUAGAGUACAGUAUGCAGCCAGAAUCCUUAUGUGAUGACAACUGCACAGAUACACAACCUAUGUCAUGUGGAUGCCACAUAUUGAUAACGGAAUGGGGGUGGAGGCAUCCAGUCUAUUUAAUAAGUCUAACAGGCUUAGCUAUUGACAAAGGUGAAUGGGUACUUUUACAUAAAUUUUACAUUAAUGUAAAUUAACAUUAAAAAUUAAAGCAAUUUAUUUU